rnacentral:rRNA from 1 species
UAGUCCACGCCGUAAACGAUGGUCACUAGCUGUUCGGACUUCGGUCUGAGUGGCUAAGCGAAAGUGAUAAGUGACCCACCUGGGGAGUACGUUCGCAAGAAUGAAACUCGAAGGAAUUGACGGGGGCCCGCGCAAGCGGUGGAGCAUGUGGUUUAAUUCGAUGAUACGCGAGGAACCUUACCAGGGCUUAAAUGUAAGUUGCAUUAGUUAGAGAUAGCUAUUUCUUCGGACUACUUACAAGGUGCUGCAUGGUUGUCGUCAGCUCGUGCCGUGAGGUGUCAGGUUAAGUCCUAUAACGAGCGCAACCCCUAUCGUUAGUUGCUAACAGGUUAAGCUGAGGACUCUAGCGAGACUGCCGGUGCAAACCGAGAGGAAGGUGGGGAUGACGUCAAAUCAUCAUGGCCCUUAUGGCCUGGGCUACACACGUGCUACAAUGGUGGAUACAAAGGGUUGCCAACCCGCGAAGGGGAGCUAAUCUCAGAAAAUCCAUCUCAGUCCGGAUUGG